UCGUAAAUACAGUAAUCACAACAUAACAUUACUGCGUAAUGAACUGCUUUUUCUGUCAAAUUUGUUGUAAAACAUGAUGUUUUGGUGCUUAAUUUGUAAAAUCAUAACCUAAUUUGAUGUUUAAUAGGCUUUUCCUUAAUCCCUCCUUAUUAUCCAAGAUAUUCGUUUAUCCAAGCUUCUGCUGGCCCAUUUAGCUUGGAUAAGUGAGACUCUACUGUACUUGCAAACAAUCAGAAUCACCCGAUAGUUGCAUACAACAUAGGCAGAUACUCACACCGAGUCACACAGGACACAUUUGACGGAUUUUUUCAUUUUCCUUAUAUAGCCACCUGCUGAUAGCUCAUCAGUAAUGGAGACUGACUGAUGCAACCCUUUGCAAUAACCCUCACUUGAUUAUGACUCAGCCAUUGCCACACCCCUAGGGUAUUGCAUCAUGACAUCCACAGUCAUACUCAGGUGCUAUCAAUCGACCACAUGUUCAUCAAACAAUAUUUUUAUGUGAUUAGAAAGGCUUUGCCAUUUCUAUAUAACAAUACAGAUUAUGCUGACUAAUAUAGCUAAUCAAAAUAUGCAAGUCUACAAAACAAUGUCAAAAAUGAGAGACGGGAUGUUCCACUUCUUAGAAGCUCUGAAAUGAAUAUACUCUAGCUUUUCUUUUCUUUUGUGUAAACCCAUAUGGUGAAAUCGAUAAUUCUAGCUUGCGUAUGUGUAAAUUCUGACAUAGUUUAUAUUGCUUGCCUCCCUUUCCUGCAUACCCAGCUCUCUGGUGGUGAUUCCACAAUUAUCCAGGGACUAUCCUCUCAACUGAUGGUGCCCACCUGUAAACACAGACUUGUCAGAUUUUAAGCAGGAACAGGAGUUCAUGCUGGCAGCUCCCUCUUUCUUAUCAUGUCUAUCAUUUUUCUCAUCUGGAGAAUGCUAGCAUUAAAAAAACUCUCCUAGUCAUUGGAUGUUCUUAAAAAUAAGCUUCCAAUCAUGUGGGAGUUUCCAUAUGUGUGUGUGUGUCUGAUUUGAAAGGCUAUAUAUAUAGCAGAGGACCUUCAUUUCAACCUUCUGUUCUUCACACACAGAAUUUUCCGACUUCAAAAGGAACUAACAUUGCUCAUUGCUCUAAUCAUCUAACAGAGUCCAAUGGAAGUAUUCCCACAACACACAAGCAUCAUACAGCAUUGGUAUCAUGACUUCUAGUGGCUUCGUGUGCAAAUUCAUCUUGCCAGUGUGCAAAGACGGAGAGAAAAGUUCAGUGAAGACAGUGUGCAGACGUGGAGGAAAGAAGAUAAAUGUUGCGGGAUGGCUGGCCAUCCCCGAAGAUGGAUAUUGCCAGGGAAAAGACGAUGCUGUUCAACGUUGUUGGAAAAGGGGAAACUGCUAAAUAAAGAGAAGAAAAACCCAGAUCUGCGCUGUUUUAUCUUUACCUGACCUACAGCCCUUUCCAUGGUGUAUGUGAAGAUCUUGCUUUGGGUGUGCAGAUCUUGUGUCCUGUUAUAGCAAAAUGUCAUUGCUAUGUCCGCAAACCUAGAUCUGUUCUAGUUCAGACUUGAAUCUAUUUCUCACCACAAAGAAAUACUCCUGAAAGAUUUGUUGUUGUUGUUGUUUUUACAAUCCCAAUUCAUCAUGUCAGAGCAAUUCCUGUAAAACAAUUGUUUGUUUAUUCUGACUGCUUCCUUGCAGCUUUCUCCUUCUGCAAGUAGCUUACUUUUAUCUUUACAAAGAUCACCGUAUAUGCCCCCUUCUGAUUUCUAUCAACUGUUCAGCAUCCCUUCUUGAUGACCAUCCACCAUGUCAUCAUAUGCUUUUUCUCCUUCACUGUUUGCAAUAAUGGUAUAUCUUGAUUGCUUUUGGCCACCAGUCACUCACCUGCUAAUUUCAUUUUUGUGGAACUCAGCCUGACCAGCAACAAUCAUGUUAUAUUUUGUCUAACUAUACUUCCAUUUUACUGAGCUUACUAAUGUAUUUAAGCCAGCCCAAGCUCAGUUAAUCUAUUGCAACUUUUUUAGGCAUGGAGCAAAAAAUGAUGGGUGGGUAAGAGCACAGGUUGGCAAGCAGUGAGCGGGAAAAGAAACUUUACAACUCAUUUCAGAGGAAAAUGUUUGGGGACUGUCCCAGCUGCCUGUAUUCAGAAGUCAAUUUCCUAAUUAAGAACUUUUUCACACGGAGGCAGCAAAGCAGAAUUUCACCGAGGUAAUUGUGUCUGUUGUCAUCACGUGAAUCCUACUGUCAUGUUGUAUUCCUCCUGUGACUGCAGUACUCCUUUUCAUUGGUGGUUAAAACCCAUCAAUGCCUCUCUGUACCAUUGCCUUUUCAUUCCUUACUUAACUUUGGCUACUGUCUUUUGGACUUUUGAUAUUGAAUGUUCUAUAUCAAUGGUUCUCAACCUUCCUAAUGCUGCGACCCCUUAAUACAGUUCCUCAUGUUG